GUACUUACCUGGUAGGGGAGAGACCAUGAUCACAAAGGUGUUUCUCCAAGGGUGAGGCUCCUCCAUUGCACUUUGGAGGGGUUGACCCCUUUGAUUUCCCCAAAUGUGGGAAACUGAACCGCAUAAUUUAUUACAAAGACAUGCAUCUGGAUUGUUUC